ACUCCUACGGGAGGCAGCAGUGAGGAAUAUUGGUCAAUGGGCGCAAGCCUGAACCAGCCAUGCCGCGUGCAGGAUGACGGUCCUAUGGAUUGUAAACUGCUUUUGUACAGGAAGAAACAGUCCUACGUGUAGAACCUUGACGGUACUGUAAGAAUAAGGAUCGGCUAACUCCGUGCCAGCAGCCGCGGUAAUACGGAGGAUCCAAGCGUUAUCCGGAAUCAUUGGGUUUAAAGGGUCCGUAGGCGGUUUAGUAAGUCAGUGGUGAAAGCCCAUCGCUCAACGGUGGAACGGCCAUUGAUACUGCUAGACUUGAAUUAUUAGGAAGUAACUAGAAUAUGUAGUGUAGCGGUGAAAUGCUUAGAGAUUACAUGGAAUACCAAUUGCGAAGGCAGGUUACUACUAAUGGAUUGACGCUGAUGACGAAAGCGUGGGUAGCGAACAGGAUUAGAUACCCUGGUAGUCCACGCCGUAAACGAUGGAUACUAGCUGUUCGGAGCAAUCUGAGGGCUAAGCGAA
rnacentral:rRNA from 1 species